rnacentral:rRNA from 1 species
UCAUUAGUCUUUUAAUUGAAGGCUUGUAUGAAAGGUUGGACGAGAGAAAAACUGUUUUCAAAUAAAAAUUUUGAAUUUAACUUCUAAGUGAAAAGGCUUAAAUGCUUCAAUAAGACGAUAAGACCCUAUAAAUCUUUACAUUAAAUUUAUUAUUUUUUUAAUUUGUUAGUUUUAAAGAAAGAGUAAUAUUGAAAUGUUAUGUUGGGGCGACAAAAAUAUAAUAAUCUCAACUGUUUUACUAAAAAACAAUAAUAAUUGAAAUGUUCCAAAGAUCCUUAUUUAAAGAUUAUAAGAUUAAGUUACUUUAGGGAUAACAGCGUUAUUCUUUUUGAGAGUUCUCAUCGAAAAAAGAGUUUGCGACCUCGAUGUUGAAUUAAAAUAUCUUUAUGGUGUAGCCGCUAUAAAAG